CACGUAGGGCGCAAGCGUUGUCCGGAAUUAUUGGGCGUAAAGAGCUCGUAGGCGGUGUGUCGCGUCUGCUGUGAAAACUCAGGGCUCAACUCUGAGCUUGCAGUGGGUACGGGCACACUUGAGUGCUGUAGGGGAGACUGGAAUUCCUGGUGUAGCGGUGAAAUGCGCAGAUAUCAGGAGGAACACCGGUGGCGAAGGCGG
rnacentral:rRNA from 1 species